rnacentral:rRNA from 1 species
GUCCACGCCGUAAACGAUGGAUGCUAGCCGUUGGUGAGCUUGCUCAUCAGUGGCGCAGCUAACGCAUUAAGCAUCCCGCCUGGGGAGUACGGUCGCAAGAUUAAAACUCAAAGGAAUUGACGGGGGCCCGCACAAGCGGUGGAGCAUGUGGUUCAAUUCGAAGCAACGCGAAGAACCUUACCAACUUUUGACAUGUCCCGUAUGAGAAACAGAAAUGUAUCUCUUCACUUCGGGUGGCGGGAACACAGGUGCUGCAUGGCUGUCGU